rnacentral:rRNA from 1 species
CCUACGGGUGGCAGCAGUGAGGAAUAUUGGUCAAUGGACGCAAGUCUGAACCAGCCAUGCCGCGUGCAGGAAGACGGCUCUAUGAGUUGUAAACUGCUUUUGUACGAGGGUAAACUCAGAUACGCGUAUCUUUCUGAACGUAUCUUACGAAUAAGGAUCGGCUAACUCCGUGCCAGCAGCCGCGGUAAUACGGAGGAUUCAAGCGUUAUCCGGAUUUAUUGGGUUUAAAGGGUGCGUAGGCGGUCGGAUAAGUUAGGUGUGAAAUCCCGAGGCUCAACUUCGGAAUUGCCUUUGAUACUGGUAGGCUAGAGAGGAGUUGUGGUAGGCGGAAUGUAUGGUGUAGCGGUGAAAUGCUUAGAGAUCACACAGAACACCGAUUGCGAAGGCAGCUUACCAAGCUACGUCUGACGUUGAGGCACGAAAGCGUGGGGAGCAAACAGGAUUAGAUACCCCAGUAGUC